rnacentral:rRNA from 1 species
GUAGGUGGCAAGCGUUGUCCGGAUUUAUUGGGCGUAAAGCGAGCGCAGGCGGUUUCUUAAGUCUGAUGUGAAAGCCCCCGGCUCAACCGGGGAGGGUCAUUGGAAACUGGGAGACUUGAGUGCAGAAGAGGAGAGUGGAAUUCCAUGUGUAGCGGUGAAAUGCGUAGAUAUAUGGAGGAACACCAGUGGCGAAGGCGGCUCUCUGGUCUGUAACUGACGCUGAGGCUCGAAAGCGUGGGGAGCAAA